GGCUGGUCUGAUGGUAGUGAGUUAUGAGAACUUAUUAACAUUAGUGUCACUAAAGUUGGUAUACAACCCCCCACUGCUAAAUUUGACUGGCUAAAA
rnacentral:Y_RNA from 1 species